rnacentral:rRNA from 1 species
AAUAGAUACCCGGGUAGUCCACGCCGUAAACGAUGAGUGCUAAGUGUUAGAGGGUUUCCGCCCUUUAGUGCUGCAGCUAACGCAUUAAGCACUCCGCCUGGGGAGUACGGUCGCAAGACUGAAACUCAAAGGAAUUGACGGGGGCCCGCACAAGCGGUGGAGCAUGUGGUUUAAUUCGAAGCAACGCGAAGAACCUUACCAGGUCUUGACAUCCCACUGACCGGUAUAGAGAUAUACCUUUCCCUUCGGGGACAGUGGUGACAGGUGGUGCAUGGUUGUCGUCAGCUCGUGUCGUGAGAUGUUGGGUUAAGUCCCGCAACGAGCGCAACCCUUGAUCUUAGUUGCCAGCAUUUAGUUGGGCACUCUAAGGUGACUGCCGGUGACAAACCGGAGGAAGGUGGGGAUGACGUCAAAUCAUCAUGCCCCUUAUGACCUGGGCUACACACGUGCUACAAUGGAUGGUACAAAGGGCUGCAAGACUGCGAAGUCAAGCCAAUCCCAUAAAACCAUUCUCAGUUCGGAUUGGAGU